CCUACGGGGGGCAGCAGUGGGGAAUAUUGGACAAUGGGGGCAACCCUGAUCCAGCCAUGCCGCGUGUGUGAAGAAGGCCCUCGGGUUGUAAGGCACUUUCAGUGAGGAAGAACGCCUGGUGGUUAAUACCCAUCAGGAAAGACAUCACUCACAGAAGAAGCACCGGCUAACUCCGUGCCAGCAGCCGCGGUAAUACGGAGGGUGCGAGCGUUAAUCGGAAUUACUGGGCGUAAAGCGCGCGUAGGUGGCUUGAUAAGCCGGUUGUGAAAGCCCCGGGCUCAACCUGGGAACGGCAUCCGGAACUGUCAAGCUAGAGUGCAGGAGAGGAAGGUAGAAUUCCCGGUGUAGCGGUGAAAUGCGUAGAGAUCGGGAGGAAUACCAGUGGCGAAGGCGGCCUUCUGGACUGACACUGACACUGAGGUGCGAAAGCGUGGGUAGCAAACAGGAUUAGAUACCCGAGUAGUC
rnacentral:rRNA from 1 species